GGUGGCUCAGUGGUAGAGUGCUUGCCUUACAUGCUUGAGACCCUGGGUUCGAUUCCUCAGCACCA
rnacentral:tRNA from 1 species